rnacentral:rRNA from 1 species
UACGUAGGGUGCGAGCGUUAAUCGGAAUUACUGGGCGUAAAGCGUGCGCAGGCGGUUGUGUAAGACAGGCGUUAAAUCCCCGGGCUUAACCUGGGAACUGCGCUUGUGACUGCACGGCUAGAGUAUGGCAGAGGGGGGUGGAAUUCCACGUGUAGCAGUGAAAUGCGUAGAGAUGUGGAGGAACACCGAUGGCGAAGGCAGCCCCCUGGGCCAAUACUGACGCUCAUGCACUAAAGCGUGGGGAGCAAACAGG